rnacentral:tRNA from 1 species
UGUUCGGUAGCUUAGUUGGUAAAGCGCUCGUCUAGCAUACAAGAGUCCUGGGUUCAAAUCCCAGCCGAGCAC